AGUGAACGCUGGCGGUAGGCCUAACACAUGCAAGUCGAACGGCAGCACAGUAAGAGCUUGCUCUUACGGGUGGCGAGUGGCGGACGGGUGAGGAAUACAUCGGAAUCUACUUUUUCGUGGGGGAUAACGUAGGGAAACUUACGCUAAUACCGCAUACGACCUACGGGUGAAAGCAGGGGAUCUUCGGACCUUGCGCGAUUGAAUGAGCCGAUGUCGGAUUAGCUAGUUGGCGGGGUAAAGGCCCACCAAGGCGACGAUCCGUAGCUGGUCUGAGAGGAUGAUCAGACACACUGGAACUGAGACACGGUCCAGACUCCGACGGGAGGCAGCAGUGGGAAAUAUUGGACAAUGGGCGCAAGCCUAAUCCAGCCAUACCGCGUGGGUGAAGAAGGCCUUCGGGUUGUAAAGCCCUUUUGUUGGGAAAGAAAAGCAGCAGGUUAAUACCCCGCUGUUCUGACGGUACCCAAAGAAUAAGCACCGGCUAACUUCGUG
rnacentral:rRNA from 1 species